rnacentral:tRNA from 1 species
GGGGCCAUAGCUCAGCUGGGAGAGCGCCUGCCUUGCACGCAGGAGGUCAGCGGUUCGAUCCCGCUUGGCUNCGCCC